GAAAUGCGAUAAGUAAUGUGAAUUGCAGAAUCUCGUGAAUCAUCGAAUCUUUGAACGCCAAACUUUCGAACGCACAUUGCGCCAUAGGAGUCUUACCCUAUGGCACAUCUGGUUGAGGGUCGUGAUCAAACACAGCAUGCCUUGAGCUGUAAUAGUGCUAAUUGGCGAAUCAUCAGACCGGCACAACGCCUAGUUGUCGGUGGUGUUUUGUCAUAAUGCUCUAGAGGGUACGCCUUUAUAGGGUACUUCCUUACCACACGGAUGGGCAGCCUAGUCGACACGACAAUGGUCCGGCCGCCGGGUAUUGUAAAAACGUCUAUCGCAUAUACUCGGAUUGGUUGUGUGACCGUCGCUUGGCUUAACCUAUACGUGCCUGGUAGUGGUUUUUCGGAUUCCCGACCUCAACUCAGGUGUGAUUACCCGCUGAACUUAAGC
rnacentral:misc_RNA from 1 species